GUAUCAUCAAGUUAGGGGCCAAAAUGUGAGAUAAUUGGAAGAAAUGCCUCUGUCGUCGUUAUCCUAAUCAUUUUCUCCUUUGCGCUGCAUUCCAGAUGAGCCUGGGCUGUGUCUCUUGGGAGAGCUUCGCCUUCACUGCUGGCCCAAAAGGAGUGAGCCAUCAAAUAUGCUCAGUACGAACUGGAAGAGCAGCACUGCCUGCGCAGCCAGGGCUCCUGACAGCAGUGGCUGAGGAACAGGGAACCUCAAAAUAUCCUAGAUCUUUGAGGAUAUGA
rnacentral:lncRNA from 1 species